AGAUGUAUUUUUAUUAGGCUGUGUGCAAUCUCUAUUUGCAUGGUAAUGAAGCCUUCCAAAGGCAUUCAGCAGGUGAGAUGGGAGAUGAACUCCUUCCAUCAGCACCACCGCAUGAUCGGUGGCAUUUGUCAGAAACAAGAAAAGCUUUUUGAUUUUUUAACAACAGAGCAAAACAAUACAACCAACACCGGCUGUGGUACCACUUACACAAUCACCGUUACAGUACAGGACUCUUCAAGGUGAUCCAUGCCUCAGCACAAAGCCAGGCCUGCCACCACCAGUGGCAGGACAUGCUGCUACUGGAUCUCUUUGUUACUUAUCCAGCUCAAAGACGUUUUAUUAAAUACUAAUUUAUACUCAUUGUUACCAUAUUAUUAGAGAACUUUACUAUCAUCAGUGGUUUUAUGCUCCAGCAUGCUGUGUUUUCUGCAGGUGACUCUAGGCCUUAAUUUCUGUAAAAGAAAAAUAAUCCCAGUGCUACACAUCACGGUUAAACUCUUUGUAGCACAGACUCUCACUGCAUGGACAGCACGUAGCAUGGUUAUAAAGUGGACUGUUAUAAGACAAAGACUAAACCAAUAACAAUAAACUUAUGUCCACCUUCCAGGUGUGGUAUAUUAAAACAAACAAACAAAAAAAAGGCAACAGAGGCAUCUCAUUAAGUCUAUUUUGAACCCAAAUUGGCUCCUCAGUUGAUUUGUUGUUAAUUGAUGCAAUCAGGGAUGCAGCUGAGGCACAUUAAAUGCUUAGCAAUUGUAAUGCAAUAAUUUCUGACAGUACUUUAGUAAGAGUGGCAAGAGUAAGCCCUGUUUGCUGGGAAAGACCUUGCAGAGGGGGGAGCCUCUCAGGCAUGUUGUGAGAGCUCCCAGCAGGCUGCAUUAAAAAUGAAGCUAGGUUUGAGCUGUGAAUAGCUACGGUCAUCUACCUGCCUGCAUCUAGAGGCUGGAGAAACCCCUUCCUAGGUGCUGAGGAAGAAAGCAUGGAGCCUGUCCUACUUUGUCCAAGUUCCUGAGUCAGCUGGAGUGGACAGAAGUCGUGUGAGCAGGAUUGCCAGGUCAAGGGACUCCACCAGGAGCAGCACACACAGGUCCACGGACACAAAGGCUCCUGCUGGCCAGCAGCACACAUGGUGCUCAGAACGAGCCUCUUGUCAGCAGAGCAGGUUAUUGCUGACAUUAUUGCCUUGGUGAGGUAAGGCUCAAGGUGGUGGGUAUUUGCUGAAUUGAUAACAGACCCUCCCAAGAGGAGAGGAGAUGCAUCACAGAUGCAGGCUAGCUGCAACUACCUCCCAGUGCCAUAGCAAUGAUGUUCUCCGAUGUAGUCCUCAUUCCUCCUCAAAAAAUUUCUAACAAUGGAUUUGUUUCCCAGCACAGGUGGCAUUUAUCCAGGCAGCUCCUAACCGUAUCUGUUGUCACAGCUUUCCUGGCACUAGUGCUGUCCACCAAAGGGUGUUUUUCUUGCCUCUGAAAUGGUUCAGAAGAUCAUGUCCCAGCCUCCCUCUGCGCAGUGUGUGGUGGUCAGGCUGGGCUCGUGGUUCCCAUGCGUUCUCACUAUUUCAUUACGUUAUCUGGUAAGUUAAAUAAAGAUGUAACAUUGCACUGAAAUCCCUUUCCCCAGACAGUGAUUGAAUUUUGCUGAUGUCAUAAAAGGAUUUGUUCCUCUGUUGUUUUCUGUAACAUCAAGUAAUUCCCAUUAAAUAGUAAGUAAUUGAUUUA